GGAAUGUUCAAGAAGGUUUGGUUUAUGCGGCCAACGCUACGACAAACCCAAACCCUAGCCCUUCUUCUUCUUAAUCCCUAAUAUCUUCUUUUUUCUUAUCUUCAUCUUCUUCUUCUUCGCCUCUGUCUCUCUCUCCCAACAAACAUGUCUCACUUCGGACGCUCGGGUCCUCCUGACAUUUCCGACACUUACUCUCUUCUCGUUCUCAACAUCACCUUCCGCACCACAGCCGAUGACCUAUUUCCUCUAUUCGACAAGUAUGGGAAGGUCGUCGACAUCUUCAUCCCCAAGGAUCGAAGGACUGGUGAGUCCAGGGGUUUUGCCUUUGUGCGUUACAAGUAUGCUGAUGAGGCUCAAAAGGCCGUUGAUAGGCUCGACGGAAGAAUGGUUGAUGGUCGUGAAAUAACUGUCCAGUUUGCGAAAUAUGGGCCUAAUGCUGAGAGGAUUCACAAAGGAAGGAUUAUUGAAACGGCCCAGAGAUCAAGGCACCGGUCAAGAAGCCGUAGUCCCAGGAAAAGGUAUCGUGAUGACAGAGACAGAGACAGGGAUUAUAGAAAGAGAAGUCGCAGUAGAAGCUAUGAUAGGUAUGAACGUGACAAGCACCGUGGGAGAGACAAAGAUUAUCGUCACAGAAGCAGGAGCCGUAGUACCAGUCUUGAUUACAAGGGUCGUGGUAGGGCACGCUAUGAUGAUGAGCAUCAUAGUAGGAGCCGGAGUAGAUCAGUUGACAGUCGCUCCCCUGCACGACGCAGUCCUAGUCCUCGAAAGAGUCCUUCCUUACAGCGGAGCACUUCUCCCCAAAGGAGUACUUCCCCUAGGAAAAGCCCAAGGGGUGAAAGUCCAGCAAAUCGUAGCCGUGAUGGACGUUCUCCACGUUCUCCUUCCCCGCGCAGUGUAUCACCACGUGGUCGCCCUGAAGCUUCACGAAGCCCUUCCCCUCGAAAUUCGAAUGGUGAUGAAUAAGAUAUGCUUCGCAUGUUCUAGAGUGCCGGACUAUUGCACCUGUAGCUGUUUUGCUAUUGUUGGAACUUUUAGUCUGUGUGAAUGGUCUUAUCAGAGUCAUUGAAGGAUUUUAUGAUCUAAGUGCUGUUUGUUAUGAUCCGGAAAAGUGAUGGGGGCCUGAUAGGCGCAUGUUGGCUUUGUUGCUGUUGAUGCUGUUUCUAUGUCAUUGAUGAUUGGUCGUGAAUUUGAUGCUGGUUGCAAGAAUAUGCUGAUUUAAGACUGAUUUUUUACCAAUGUGCUGAUUAAACAGACAAUUAGUUGACUUGGUUUUUUCCUGAAUGAUCUGAUCAUUGUGUCCUAAAAGGGAUUCUUGAUGCUGUGACGAACAAGUUGAGCAUAUUUUGACAUGUAGCCGAUGCCUCAUAGGAGUUGGACCUGUCAUUUGUUGAUUCAGAUGCGGAUACUAAACAUUAAACUGUGGGUCGUAAAUAUGAACUUUAAUGUGCUGGUGUUUAUUUGGAAGUGGACAAUGGUAACACACUCAUGGUUACUCUUUUUUAGGGUAUUUUAAUGGAUAAUUUUUAACAUUGACCUUUCGAGAUUAUAACAUUUGUCACUUAAUGUAGUGAGAUACGUUUGUUGUAGAACACUGCUCCAUGACACUGUAGCUGUGAGGUGGUAGCUGAUGCAUCUUUAGUAGUAAGAUAUGCAUGUGUUCGUGAAUAGUUUGAAGCACUAACCAGUUACUGUAGCUGACUGUUGCUGCCCUCUUUGCUGAGAUCGGGUUGGCAAUGGUAUUAGCAGUUGGUACACUGAUGAUGGCUGUCUAGCUGUGCUGCUGGUUUCUGUUGAUUCCAAAGCCGCAUGACAGAAUUGUUUUUCACUAUUGAACUGGUGAUUUGUUUUCGUAGCCUCAGUUAAGUUAUUCAUUCGUUCUUAUGGCAUUAAAAGAUUUGUUGCUUAUUCAAUUAUGAUCGUGGUUAACAUUUGUGUCUGGUUGUUAUUGUUUUACAACUGAAGCGACCAAUGUGUUUGCAACAA